rnacentral:lncRNA from 1 species
CUUAAUCUGUUGUCACUUCAUUCAAAAUCGUUUUUAAAGAGUCCUACAUGAGUUAAAAACAUCACGAUCCAUCGAAAUAUGCUUCAGAGUUUCUGCUAAUUUGGGGGUUAAACAUGACUUUGACGUGUUCCUGACAGGUUUUGUGUCAUUCUGCUUCACUCUUGAGGCUUUUGUUUAGUAAAUACAUUGACAUUCAUAUAUUAAAAUCUCACCAGGACAGGGUUUGAGUCUAAUGGUCUUCUGUGCGUGACUGACGUGGUUCUUCACGCUGCAGCUGAUGUUUCCCUCAGUUCCUUCAUCCAGAUCAAUGCUGCUGUUUCCAUCCUUCAGUGGAUCUCCAUUCAGAGUCCAGCUGUAGAGGAGCUGAUCUCCAUCAGAGGAGCAGAACACCCUCAUCACCCCACUGGAGGAGCAGUUAACUGACACAUUCACUGAGCCAAUAGGAGCUGGAGGGAGGGACACAUCACAGUCACAUGACUAUUUCUUGAUAUUAUGUAAAUGAGUCAGUCAAAACAUUUCUAAACUAAAUUUAUAUCUGAUAUGAUAGUGUAAGUCAGUCAUGUGACAACAAUGAAGCAAAUAACUGUCUGAAAUGCUUUCACGUCAUUUUUUAAAAGCAGUAUGCAGUACACAGUUAGCAACACGCUGGUAUUUCAUUCUUAAAAUAGUCUCAGACUCAGUGUAAAGAAAGAGAAGAUGCUGCUGAGUGAAUUCUUCCAGAUAUUUAAUAAUGAACUGCAAUAAAAACCUUCACAGAGAUUCAUCUGAUUCAUUUGCAUGAGAGAGAGAUCUUUGGAGAACAUGAGAUUGUAAUGAGUCUGAUGAGAGAGUUUCUGUACCUUCAACAAUCACUUGAAGAUCUCGAGAUGUUUCUGUGCCGUCUGAGCUCUCGAGUGUUAAUCUGUAAUUCCCUGAAUCUGUUCUGAUCACACGGUUUAUUAUCACAGACCCAUUAAUGACUGUCACUUCAGGUCUGUUAUUAUAAAGAUCACAUUCAGUCUCCCUCAUCCUGCCAUUCUUUACUCUACAAACUGGAUCAUCUGCUGUGUUGUUGUUUAUUCUCUUUUUUAUCGUCAGAUCAUAUUUACUAGCGUCCUGCACCAUCAUCAGAUUGAGUUUGUGUCCCAGAGCUGUGUAACAGGGAUCAGACUGAUCAAACCUGCAGAACCGAUCCAGACCUGAAGAACAAAACACACAAAUGUUCCAACAUUUAAGGACAUCAUGAAUUAAAAUCAGACACAAAUUACACAAACAUUGACAGAAUUAAAGUUCAUCUGAAGAAACACAUCAGACAGACUCUUGAUCUGAUCUCAGUUCAUCUCAAUAAUGCUCAUUGUCAGAACCAUUUCAUCUCUAC